CAAUAGCGUAUAUUAAAGUUGUUGCAGUUAAAAAGCUCGUAGUUGGAUUUGUGGUGUACUUCGGCGGCCCGUCACUAUGUGAUGGAGCUUGCUGAAGUCGCCAUCCUUGGGUGGAUCCUGUGUGGCAUUAAGUUGUCGUGCAGGGGAUGCCCAUCGUUUACUGUGAAAAAAUUAGAGUGUUCAAAGCAGGCUUAUGCCGUUGAAUAUAUUAGCAUGGAAUAAUAAGAUAGGACCUUGGUACUAUUUUGUUGGUUUGCGCACCAAGGUAAUGAUUAAUAGGGACAGUUGGGGGUAUUCGUAUUUCAUUGUCGGAGGUGAAAUUCUUGGAUUUUUGAAAGACGAACUACUGCGAAAGCAUUUACCAAGGAUGUUUUCAUUAA
rnacentral:rRNA from 1 species